GGAUGAAUGGCUGAGUGGUUGAAAGCGUCAAUUUUGAAAAUUGAAAUAAAAUUAAUUUAUCGUGGGUUCGAAUCCUACUUCAUCCA
rnacentral:tRNA from 1 species